UUGGAGGGCAAGUCUGGUGCCAGCAGCCGCGGUAAUUCCAGCUCCAAUAGCGUAUAUUAAAGUUGUUGCAGUUAAAAAGCUCGUAGUUGAAUUUCGGGAUCAAUAUGUUGGUCGUGCCUUGGUACGUACUAAUUUAUUGGUUUCUUCCUUCUGACGAACCAUGAUGUCAUUAAUUUGGUGUCUUGGGGAAUCAGGACUGUUACUUUGAAAAAAUUAGAGUGUUUAAAGCAGGCUCACGCUUGAAUACAUUAGCAUGGAAUAAUGAAAUAGGACGUUUGAUUCUAUUUUGUUGGUUUCUAGGAUUGACGUAAUGAUUAAUAGGGACAGUUGGGGGCAUUAGUAUUCAAUUGUCAGAGGUGAAAUUCUUGGAUUUAUUGAAGACUAACUACUGCGAAAGCAUUUGCCAAGGAUGUUUUCAUUAAUCAAGAACGAAAGUUAGGGGAUCGAAGACGAUCAGAUACCGUCGUAGUCUUAACCAUAAACUAUGCCGACUAGGGAUCGGAUGAUGUUAAUUUUUUAAUGACUCAUUCGGCGCCUUACGGGAAACCAAAGUGUUUGGGUUC
rnacentral:rRNA from 1 species